rnacentral:rRNA from 1 species
GGAAUAUUGCCCAAUGGGGGAAACCCUGAGGCAGCAACGCCGCGUGGAUGAUGACGGCCUUCGGGUUGUAAAAUCCUUUUCUGGGGGACGAUGAUGACGGUACCGCAGGAAGAAGUUCCGGCUAACUACGUGCCAGCAGCCGCGGUAAAACGUAGGGGACAAGCGUUAUCCGGAUUUACUGGGCGUAAAGCGCGCGCAGGUGGUUGGGCAAGUUGGCCGUGAAAGCUCCUGGCUUAACUGGGAGAGGUCGGUCAAAACUACUCGACUUGAGGAUGGAACAGGAGCGUAGAAUUCCCGGUGUAGUGGUGGAAUGCGUAGAUAUCGGGAGGAAUACCAGUGGCGAAGGCGGCGCUCUGGACCAGCCCUGACACUGAGGCGCGAAAGCGUGGGGAGCAAA